AUGGAAGGCAAUAACCUGCCACCUGGAAACUUUAUGCAAGGAGCAACUUAUGGCAGUUCAGACUUGCACCGGAAUCCCAUGCAAAUGCACGGUCCAAGCUCCGAUAAUCCGGGCUUCAACCACUCUCAGAUACCUGGCAAAUUCCCCAUGCCUAUGAACCAGGUUACAGCUUCUGACCACUUGUCGGAAUUUCAAUUCAGAGAACAAAGGAAGGCUGAUCACCACCAGGUCCACCACCACCACUAUCCCAAGAAGGACUCCAUGAGCGAUGAUGAGGAGCAUGGUCUGAACGAGGAUACCACUGAUAGCCACAGCGGCAAGGGAAAGAAGGGCUCAGCAUGGCAGCGGAUGAAGUGGACUGAUUCAAUGGUUAAGCUUUUAAUUACUGCAGCGUCCUACACUGGUGAGGAUCCAGGAGCUGAUUUAGGAUGUGGAAGGAGGAACUGUGCAAUGGUGCAUAAGAAAGGCAAGUGGAAGGCAAUAUCAAAGGUGAUGGGCGAGCGAGGUUGCAAUGUGUCACCGCAGCAGUGCGAGGAUAAGUUCAAUGACCUCAAUAAGAGAUACAAAAGGCUUACAGAUAUCCUUGGUCGGGGUACAACUUGCAAGGUUGUGGAGAAUCCAGCACUUCUGGAUCGCAUGGAUAAUCUCUCUGACAAGUUGAAAGAUGACGCAAGGAAGAUACUGAGCUCAAGGCACUUAUUCUAUGAGGAGAUGUGCUCCUACCAUAAUAAUAACCGGAUUAGUUUGCCUGAAGAUCCUGCACUUCAGCGUUCACUGCAGUUUGCUCUUAGGUGCAAAGAGGAAAAUGAUAUGAUGAGAGGAGCAAGUGGAGAUGCCGAUGAAGAUGACCAGAGUUCAGACUCUGAUUAUGAGGAAGAUAAUGAUGAGGACCAUCAGGUGGCGCAUAGCAAUAAAGGGGGCUUACCCAUGCAAAAGAAGAUGUGGUAUACAGCGGAUCACGAGGAUGCUGGUUUUGGGAACUCUUUGAGUGCACACGAAUGUAGCCGGAGGUCUAAUCCCCAUGGCAUCACACUAGAUAUCAACAAAGUUGUUCCAGAUGGAACCAGCUUGGCUUUGACACAGAAGGACUUAGUAUUGCAAUCUGCAGAGCUUGAAAAACAGUGCUUGAAAAUCGAAAAUGAGGCACUGGAGCUUGCAGAACAACGCCUCAAGUGGGAACUAUCCAGUAAAAUUAAGGACAAGGAACUGGAAAGGAUGAGGUCAGAUAACGAACAUAUGAAGAUUGAGAUUAAACGCUUAAAACUGGAGGUAAGGCGCAAAGAGUUAGAGCUUGAACUCAAGCUGAAAGGAAACGGCAGUCAUUCAUGA
rnacentral:rRNA from 1 species